CCUACGGGAGGCAGCAGUGGGGAAUAUUGCACAAUGGGGGAAACCCUGAUGCAGCCAUGCCGCGUGUGUGAAGAAGGCCUUCGGGUUGUAAAGCACUUUCAGUUGUGAGGAAAGUUUAGUAGUUAAUACCUGCUAGAUGUGACGUUAGCAACAGAAGAAGCACCGGCUAACUCCGUGCCAGCAGCCGCGGUAAUACGGAGGGUGCGAGCGUUAAUCGGAAUUACUGGGCGUAAAGCGCACGCAGGCGGUCUGUUAAGCUAGAUGUGAAAGCCCCGCGCUCAACGUGGGAGGGUCAUUUAGAACUGGCAGACUAGAGUCUUGGAGAGGGGAGUGGAAUUCCAGGUGUAGCGGUGAAAUGCGUAGAGAUCUGGAGGAACAUCAAUGGCGAAGGCAACUCCCUGGCCAAAGACUGACGCUCAUGUGCGAAAGUGUGGGUAGCGAACAGGAUUAGAUACCCUGGUAGUCCACACCGUAAACGCUGUCUACUAGCUGUUUGUGAAUUUAAUUCGUGAGUAGCGAAGCUAACGCGAUAAGUAGACCGCCUGGGGAGUACGGCCGCAAGGUUAAAACUCAAAGGAAUUGACGGA
rnacentral:rRNA from 1 species